rnacentral:misc_RNA from 1 species
GUGGGAGGGGGCUUGCCCCCGAUGACGGAGUGUCAGUGAAUACAUCAGUGACUGACCCACCAUAAUCGGGGGCAAGCCCCCUCCCAC